rnacentral:rRNA from 1 species
UCGGGAAUUUUGGGCAAUGGGCGAAAGCCUGACCCAGCAACGCCGCGUGAGGGAUGAAGUAUUUCGGUAUGUAAACCUCGAAAGAAUGGGAAGAAUAAAUGACGGUACCAUUUAUAAGCUCCGGCUAACUACGUGCCAGCAGCCGCGGUAAUACGUAGGGAGCAAGCGUUGUUCGGAUUUACUGGGCGUAAAGGGCGCGUAGGCGGCGCGGUAAGUCACUUGUGAAAUCUCUGAGCUUAACUCAGAACGGCCAAGUGAUACUGCUGUGCUAGAGUGCGGAAGAGGCAACCGGAAUUCUUGGUGUAGCGGUGAAAUGCGUAGAUAUCAGGAGGAACACCUGAGGCGAAGGCGGGUUGCUGGGCAGACACUGACGCUGAUGCGCGAAAGCCAGGGGAGCAAAC